rnacentral:tRNA from 1 species
AGUUAAUUAACUUAAGAAAAGUAUAUGUUUUGAAAACAUAAGAUUAGAAGUUUAAUUCUUCUAUUAACUU